CCCUGAUUACAUUCUCCCGUUCCCCAACUCAAUUCAAUUUCUCUCUACUUUCACCUCUGUCUCUCCUUGCACGACGUUGAGCCCUUGUGCGACGCUGCGUCUCCACGCUUUCUUGUCUCUUUUAAGAUCGACCUCGACCUCCAUUAAUUCCUCUCUCUCCUCAGACCAAAACCACGAAAAUUGCGUUACUUGCGCCCCUCUCUCUCUCUCUCUCUCACUACACCAACCAUCAUCCAGCAGAACGUUAGAUGGGAAAUGUACGAGUUAAUUUGAUUUUAAACUGACCGGCCAAGUUUUAAGGAAAGAGAGAUAUCUGGAAAUUAAUAAACUUCCUACCUAUGGCAAACUCAAAGGCUGGAACCAGUAAUGAUGCUACACCAGCAUCAGGAAGUGAGAACCAAGUGUUCUUGAGUUUCAGAGGGCCCGACACUCGUCAUGGAUUCACAGACUUCCUCUAUAACGACUUGUCAGAUGUUGGAGUCCGUGUAUUUAGGGAUGAUGAUGAACUUCACGUUGGAGAAAUAAUUAGUGACAACCUGCUAAGUGCUAUCAAUAACUCCAUAAUUUGCA